GCGCGGGUCAUUGGGGAGUAGUCGCCUUCCACCCUGAGGAGGGGCUUAUGUCAACAUACUUGGUCAACAGACCAUGGCAUAAGCGGUCCUAAGCGCUUGACAAGACCUUUGACCACGUUGCCUCCGGAAUGGCCGGGGAGAGGCGUGGUCAUUGUUUUCUGUCCGGCCAUGGAGACC
rnacentral:sRNA from 2 species